GAAAAUCCUACGAUGCAGAGUAGUAAGCGGUUCGAUGGCGGCACAGAAAAUUGGCGGUUCGAUGCGAGCCAAUGCGCCCAGACGCCCAACUCGCUGCUGAGGAGCGUCUGUGAUACAGACGUCGUCUGGCCGUCGUUACCGGUUUCAAGCGGGCGGCUCAGCCGCCAAACAGGGUGGUACCGCGAGAAGGAAAUCUCGUCCCUGGC
rnacentral:ncRNA from 1 species